rnacentral:rRNA from 1 species
ACUAAGCGUACACGGUGGAUGCCCUGGCAGUCAGAGGCGAUGAAGGACGUGCUAAUCUGCGAUAAGCGCCGGUAAGGUGAUAUGAACCGUUAUAACCGGCGAUUUCCGAAUGGGGAAACCCAGUGUGAUUCGUCACACUAUCAUUAACUGAAUCCAUAGGUUAAUGAGGCGAACCGGGGGAACUGAAACAUCUAAGUACCCCGAGGAAAAGAAAUCAACCGAGAUUCCCCCAGUAGCGGCGAGCGAACGGGGAGGAGCCCAGAGCCUGAAUCAGCAUGUGUGUUAGUGGAAGCGUCUGGAAAGGCGCGCGAUACAGGGUGACAGCCCCGUACACAAAAGCGCAUGUGUUGUGAGCUCGAUGAGUAGGGCGGGACACGUGGUAUCCUGUCUGAAUAUGGGGGGACCAUCCUCCAAGGCUAAAUACUCCUGACUGACCGAUAGUGAACCAGUACCGUGAGGGAAAGGCGAAAAGAACCCCGGCGAGGGGAGUGAAAAAGAACCUGAAACCGUGUACGUACAAGCAGUGGGAGCUGAGGGAAAGGCGAAAAGAACCCCGGCGAGGGGAGUGAAAAAGAACCUGAAACCGUGUACGUACAAGCAGUGGGAGCCCCACCACUAAGCCAGUGGUGAACUCCACAUACGCAUCCUUUGCUGAGGAUACGGUUAACGGAGCGCAAGCGACGUUCAACCGCAAAAGAAGCAGAGGGGGCUUAGUGGUGGGGUGACUGCGUACCUUUUGUAUAAUGGGUCAGCGACUUAUAUUCUGUAGCAAGGUUAACCGUAUAGGGGAGCCGGAGGGAAACCGAGUCUUAAUUGGGCGUUAAGUUGCAGGGUAUAGACCCGAAACCCGGUGAUCUAGCCAUGGGCAGGUUNAGGGAAACCGAGUCUUAACCGGGCGUUAAGUUGCAGGGUAUAGACCCGAAACCCGGUGAUCUAGCCAUGGGCAGGUUGAAGGUUGGGUAACACUAACUGGAGGACCGAACCGACUAAUGUUGAAAAAUUAGCGGAUGACCUGUGGCUGGGGGUGAAAGGCCAAUCAAACCGGGAGAUAGCUGGUUCUCCCCGAAAGCUAUUUAGGUAGCGCCUCGUGAAUUCAUCUCCGGGGGUAGAGCACUGUUUCGGCUAGGGGGCCAUCCCGGCUUACCAACCCGAUGCAAACUGCGAAUACCGGAGAAUGUUAUCACGGGAGACACACGGCGGGUGCUAACGUCCGUCGUGAAGAGGGAAACAACCCAGACCGCCAGCUAAGGUCCCAAAGUCAUGGUUAAGUGGGAAACGAUGUGGGAAGGCCCAGACAGCCAGGAUGUUGGCUUAGAAGCAGCCAUCAUUUAAAGAAAGCGUAAUAGCUCACUGGUCGAGUCGGCCUGCGCGGAAGAUGUAACGGGGCUAAACCAUGCACCGAAGCUGCGGCAGCGAGUAAUAGCUCACUGGUCGAGUCGGCCUGCGCGGAAGAUGUAACGGGGCUAAACCAUGCACCGAAGCUGCGGCAGCGAACGUAUCACUUAAAGCGAUUCAGCGGGUUACGAUUGACGGAGCGAAGCGACGUCAAAGCGUAUACAAAGUCGAGUCGGUUUAAGGAUACGUUCGUUGGGUAGGGGAGCGUUCUGUAAGCCUGUGAAGGUGGCCUGUGAGGGUUGCUGGAGGUAUCAGAAGUGCGAAUGCUNGUUGGGUAGGGGAGCGUUCUGUAAGCCUGUGAAGGUGGCCUGUGAGGGUUGCUGGAGGUAUCAGAAGUGCGAAUGCUGACAUAAGUAACGAUAAAGCGGGUGAAAAGCCCGCUCGCCGGAAGACCAAGGGUUCCUGUCCAACGUUAAUCGGGGCAGGGUGAGUCGACCCCUAAGGCGAGGCCGAAAGGCGUAGUCGAUGGGAAACGGGUUAAUAUUCCCGUACUUGGUGUUACUGCGAAGGGGGGACGGAGAAGGCUAUGUUGGCCGGGCGACGGUUGUCCCGGUUUAAGCGUGUAGGUGUGUGUUCCAGGUAAAUCCGGUUCACUUUAACACUGAGGCGUGAUGACGAGGCACUACGGUGCUGAAGCAACAAAUGCCCUGCUUCCAGGAAAAGCCUCUAAGCAUCAGGUAACAUCAAAUCGUACCCCAAACCGACACAGGUGGUCAGGUAGAGAAUACCAAGGCGCUUGAGAGAACUCGGGUGAAGGAACUAGGCAAAAUGGUGCCGUAACUUCGGGAGAAGGCACGCUGACAUGUAGGUGAAGUGAUUUACUCAUGGAGCUGAAGUCAGUCGAAGAUACCAGCUGGCUGCAACUGUUUAUUAAAAACACAGCACUGUGCAAACACGAAAGUGGACGUAUACGGUGUGACGCCUGCCCGGUGCCGGAAGGUUAAUUGAUGGGGUCAGCGCAAGCGAAGCUCCUGAUCGAAGCCCCGGUAAACGGCGGCCGUAACUAUAACGGUCCUAAGGUAGCGAAAUUCCUUGUCGGGUAAGUUCCGACCUGCACGAAUGGCGUAAUGAUGGCCAGGCUGUCUCCACCCGAGACUCAGUGAAAUUGAACUCGCUGUGAAGAUGCAGUGUACCCGCGGCAAGACGGAAAGACCCCGUGAACCUUUACUAUAGCUUGACACUGAACAUUGAGCCUUGAUGUGUAGGAUAGGUGGGAGGCUUUGAAGUGUGGACGCCAGUCUGCGUGGAGCCGGCCUUGAAAUACCACCCUUUAAUGUUUGAUGUUCUAACGUGGACCCGUAAUCCGGGUUGCGGACAGUGUCUGGUGGGUAGUUUGACUGGGGCGGUCUCCUCCUAAAGAGUAACGGAGGAGCACGAAGGUUGGCUAAUCCUGGUCGGACAUCAGGAGGUUAGUGCAAUGGCAUAAGCCAGCUUGACUGCGAGCGUGACGGCGCGAGCAGGUGCGAAAGCAGGUCAUAGUGAUCCGGUGGUUCUGAAUGGAAGGGCCAUCGCUCAACGGAUAAAAGGUACUCCGGGGAUAACAGGCUGAUACCGCCCAAGAGUUCAUAUCGACGGCGGUGUUUGGCACCUCGAUGUCGGCUCAUCACAUCCUGGGGCUGAAGUAGGUCCCAAGGGUAUGGCUGUUCGCCAUUUAAAGUGGUACGCGAGCUGGGUUUAGAACGUCGUGAGACAGUUCGGUCCCUAUCUGCCGUGGGCGCUGGAGAACUGAGGGGGGCUGCUCCUAGUACGAGAGGACCGGAGUGGACGCAUCACUGGUGUUCGGGUUGUCAUGCCAAUGGCACUGCCCGGUAGCUAAAUGCGGAAGAGAUAAGUGCUGAAAGCAUCUAAGCACGAAACUUGCCCCGAGAUGAGUUCUCCCUGAGACUUAAAGUCUCCUGAAGGAACGUUGAAGACGACGACGUUGAUAGGCCGGGUGUGUAAGCGCAGCGAUGCGUUGAGCUAACCGGUACUAAUGAACCGUGAGGCUUAACC